rnacentral:rRNA from 1 species
UCAUCGAAAUUUUGGACGCACAUUGCACUUUCGGGUUAUGCCUGGAAGUAUGCCUGUAUCAGUGUCCGUA